rnacentral:rRNA from 1 species
UACGUAGGUGGCAAGCGUUAUCCGGAAUUAUUGGGCGUAAAGCGCGCGCAGGCGGUUUCUUAAGUCUGAUGUGAAAGCCCACGGCUCAACCGUGGAGGGUCAUUGGAAACUGGGGAACUUGAGUGCAGAAGAGAAAAGCGGAAUUCCACGUGUAGCGGUGAAAUGCGUAGAGAUGUGGAGGAACACCAGUGGCGAAGGCGGCUUUUUGGUCUGUAACUGACGCUGAGGCGCGAAAGCGUCGGGAGCAAACAGG